GACGUAGGGCGCGAGCGUUGUCCGGAAUUAUUGGGCGUAAAGAGCUCGUAGGCGGUGUGUCGCGUCGGCCGUGAAAACCUGCAGCUUAACUGUGGGCGUGCGGUCGAUACGGGCAUCACUGGAGUUCGGCAGGGGAGACUGGAAUUCCUGGUGUAGCGGUGAAAUGCGCAGAUAUCAGGAGGAAUACCGAUGGCGAAGGCAGGUCUCUGGGCUGACACUGACGCUCGAUGCACGAAAGCGUGGGGAGCAAACAGG
rnacentral:rRNA from 1 species